rnacentral:rRNA from 1 species
GAUGAACGCUGGCGGCGUGCCUAAUACAUGCAAGUCGAGCGAACGGACGAGAAGCUUGCUUUUCUGAUGUUAGCGGCGGACGGGUGAGUAACACGUGGAUAACCUACCUAUAAGACUGGGAUAACUUCGGGAAACCGGAGCUAAUACCGGAUAAUAUUUUGAACCGCAUGGUUCAAAAGUGAAAGACGGUCUUGCUGUCACUUAUAGAUGGAUCCGCGCUGCAUUAGCUAGUUGGUAAGGUAACGGCUUACCAAGGCAACGAUGCAUAGCCGACCUGAGAGGGUGAUCGGCGACACUGGAAGUGAGACACGGUCCAGACUCCUAAGGGAGGCAGCAGUAGGGAAUCUUCCGCAAUGGGCGAAAGCCUGACGGAGCAACGCCGCGUGAGUGAUGAAGGUCUUCGGAUCGUAAAACUCUGUUAUUAGGGAAGAACAUAUGUGUAAGUAACUGUGCACAUCGUGACGGUACCUAAUCAGAAAGCCACGGCUAACUACGUG